rnacentral:rRNA from 1 species
AUGGGGGAUCGUUACCUGGACAAACAAGUUCAGAAUUUUGGAGAACCUUUCUUUAUGGUUAUUCGCGAGGAUGAGACCUUAUCUUCUAUUAAAGAACGUUUACAGAAAAAGCUUAAGGUCUCAGAUGAGGAUUUCUCAAAGGGGCGCAGGGUUCAGUUCGACGGUGACGAGCCAGGCAGCCGGCCUUCGCAUAACGAACUGGUGCAGUUCGAUCUUGUGCAAAUCGGAAAUCCCCUGAUGCUGAGUGUGUCAGUACAACCCUAUGCUUUAAGGCACACAUGCAUCCACUCCACGUGUUAG